GGAGAGAUGGCCGAGUGGUUCAUGGCUCCGGUCUUGAAAACCGGUAUAGUUACAAAAAAACUAUCGAGGGUUCGAACCCCUCUCUCUCCU
rnacentral:tRNA from 1 species